rnacentral:lncRNA from 1 species
GGAGUUCUCAUUAAUUAUGAAGAGUCUACACAAGUACAUAGAUUCAAGCUCUCCUUUAAUGAGUACUAGUGAAUGAUUUAGUACAAAUGACAUUAGGAAAUAUUGUGAAAGAAUGAUCUUUAUUUAUAGAAGAGAGUUUCUAGUUUCAUUCUGACAUUGACAUAUGUCGUGUUGUGAUUGGCUUCUAAUGUUGACACGUGUCGCGCUAUGAUUGGCUUCUGAUGUUGACACGUGUCACGCUGUGAUUGGCCUCCUGGUUGGAGGGAAACUCUUCUGGGUCCUUGACGAUAUAACGUUGACCGGUGCUUAGUAGUUUCGGGAUUGGUCAAGUAUGGUACAAACAGGUGGUCACCAAGGUUUCUUCUAGAAGGUCGAUAAGCCGUCAGAAAAGUGUCAACGAUAAUCGUUCCAAGUUAUCCAAAAGUCAUGAAAAGAUGGCAUAUUUCAUGUUCGACGAGGUGGCAAAAUUAUGACAUUAGAAUUCAAGAACCGAGAAUGCUUACAUCACAUGUGUGAUGAUAGUGAUACUACAUAACCUAUGCUCUGAUACCAAACUGACACAUCCCGACCUGGAAUGUCCACCUGGACACCUGAACCGUGAUGUGCUGGUCGACACCUGGAAGGUGACAAAACCAUAAAGUGUAGUGAUUUGGAAAAUGUGAAUAAAUUAAAACCUAAAAGUGACUAAUUUAAAGUGCGCAUGAGAGCAAGAUUGAACCCAUAUCACACAAGUGAUGUCAAAGUAUAGAUAAAAUUGCAGUAAAAGAAGAGUAAGAACAUUUAUACCAAAAUGAGAAGUCUCAUUCACAAUAGGUUUUGCUAACAAUCCUCAUCGUCAUGAAACCUCUGCCACUAAAAUCCUGGAACAGCAAAAAACAUAAGUGAGUGGGCCUGAAAAAUAAAGUUUUGUAAAACCUUUUCGAAAAGUUGUAACCCCUAGCUGUAAAACAAGUAUAUGGUUUCCCCAAAAUAAUAUAAUAUUAGUAAGUAAUACGAUACCCUGUAACAAAAGUGAGUAAAAAGAUGUAGGGUACACCAUCAAGAUAUCUCAACAUUAAAUCUCAAAUUGAUAUCACAAGAAAACAAUGCUCAUUAAUUUAUGUAGGCACACAAGUCCAUUGAAGAGAUAAUCAGACAAUGGAAUAGGCUGGCUGUAGGUUUUACAUUAUGGUACUACAUCACGUGAGUUGUGCUAGUUGCAUCACAUACAAGUCCAAAACAUCACACAAAAGGAUAGGUUGGCACCUAACUCUG